CAGGAGACAUGGGAGACAUGGGAGACGUGUUUGUCAGUCUGUUCGGACGCAGAAGCACAGACUCGGGCUCGGCUGCGUGGAGACGAGAGAGACAAGGCGGAGUCUUCAGAAAGAACCCGAGACUCUGGCCAGGAUUUCGGCCCUGAAGCUUGGUCUCGGCGGUGGCGCUGAUCUCAUCAUCCACCGUUUAUGAUUCACUCGUCUUAUUCUGGAGGAAGUG